rnacentral:tRNA from 1 species
CGGGAUGUCGCGUAGUUUGGUUAUCGCAUCUAUUUUGGGUGUAGAGUUUCGUAGGUUCAAAUCCUACUAUCCCGUUUA